rnacentral:lncRNA from 1 species
UCCAAGGAUGUAGAUUGUCCGGAAUGGAUUGUUGGACCAGUAACUUGAUGAUAACAUCAGCGGCGGACCUAACCAUGAACUGAGAGGGAGGGGGGUUACCUCAAUUUUAGUUAAGUUAGUAGAUGAUCAUCUGUUGCAUGGACUAUGUUACAGCAUUUCGAUUGGCACUAAACCUCUUUGCAUGUCUAAGUAGCCAUUGUGUCUCUUUUCUUGAUGUUGAGGAAGAAGGUCAUUCGGAAUCAAUCAUAAUUGUACCAGGUAACAUGAUGGUACGUAACAUGAUGUAAUUCUAGUUCCUGCUAGUGCUAAAAUGUUUGAUCUGGUAGUAGUCCUUGCUUGUGCUAAUGGAUUGCAACCACCUACUAGUGAAAAACUUGCACAAGCAAGGGGGCCGUGGCCCACACAUAGAACUGCCUAUGGAUAACAUAGAGGCGAAAGUCUUUAGAUGGGUCCGGGCCGUAAAUGGAGUAUAAUAUCUUUGUCCUACGUUUGGAUGGAUUUUAUUGCUUCGCAUAUGUAACACAUAGGUUUUGGAGGGGUACCUCAUUUUAUAUAGUUGGGGGGGGGGGGGGCGGUAGAGUUUCAAGUUGGCCUACUCAUUCACAAGAUAGUACAUCCUACUCAUUCACAAGAUAGUGCAUGAUUUGAUCUGAUUACAACAAAAGACUUCCUACAAUGUGUCCCUAUAUAUAUAUCAAGAUGUCUUGUGGCACACGCCGACUUGUACUGUGUGCCACUCGUCUUAUCUUUUGUAGCCAGUCCGCCCCAUUUGGAUGGUCACCUAGGCCUGUCUUGUGGUACUCAGGUUUAUAUCCUCCACAAGUAACAUUGCAACACAUCAUUUGAUCAUGUCUAGCACAACCACAACUUUGUAUGUGCCAUUGAUGCUGCCGCCGUUGCUAAGCAGUCUGAGUAGCAGUGGCUAGGUUGAAAAAAAAACUACAUCAUCGAUGGUACGACAUGUGAACAAGAG